rnacentral:rRNA from 1 species
CCUACGGGCGGCAGCAGUGGGGAAUAUUGGACAAUGGGCGAAAGCCUGAUCCAGCCAUGCCGCGUGUGUGAAGAAGGCCUUCGGGUUGUAAAGCACUUUCAGUGGGGAAGAAAGCCUUGGGGCUAAUACCCUCGAGGAAGGACAUCACCCACAGAAGAAGCACCGGCUAACUCCGUGCCAGCAGCCGCGGUAAUACGGAGGGUGCGAGCGUUAAUCGGAAUUACUGGGCGUAAAGCGCGCGUAGGCGGUCUGAUAAGCCGGUUGUGAAAGCCCCGGGCUCAACCUGGGAACGGCAUCCGGAACUGUCAGGCUAGAGUGCAGGAGAGGAAGGUAGAAUUCCCGGUGUAGCGGUGAAAUGCGUAGAGAUCGGGAGGAAUACCAGUGGCGAAGGCGGCCUUCUGGACUGACACUGACGCUGAGGUGCGAAAGCGUGGUUAGCAAACAGGAUUAGAUACCCCGGUAGUC